rnacentral:rRNA from 1 species
UAUAGAAUUUUAUAUUAACUUUACCUAGCGGUUAAUGCUGGUCUUUUGUUAAUAUUUGGUUGGGAGGAUUAUUAAAUUUAACAAACUUUAUAUCAUUAUAAACUUUGAUUUAAGAAAAUAUAAUGACCUUCAAUUUGAAAUAGUUAGAGUAAAUUACCUUAGGGAUAACAGCGUAAUAUUUUUUUAUAGACCUUAUAGAAAAAAAUGGUUGCGACCUCGAUGUUGAAUUAAGAUAAAUUUUAAAUGCAGGAGUUUAAUAAUUAAGUCUGU